rnacentral:lncRNA from 1 species
CAACCGAUUCGAGCCGAUAAAAACGGAACACCGGCGUCGAAAUCAUGGAUGAACAUGUUACUAAAGAUUCUCCCAGAGAAGGGAUAUAAGAUGUUUAGGGUUUCUGAAAGAGAUUUCUUCAGCUGAGUCAAAAUAUUGGAGGUGUUGGUAUCACUCGGGGGAUAAAAUAAUAUGAUUGGAACAUAAGUGGUGGGAGUUAGCUGAUCAAAUACACAGAGUUUGAAGGGUUCUUUUAGAUGAAUUUCUGGGGAAGAUGGUUUGAUGAUUUCUUUUGAAAGAAUCUGAGCCUCAAACUUCAUCAUUUCUUUGUUUUUUUUCCCUCACCAAUAUGUUUACACAAACUCUAUAGGAAGGAGAAAAAUAUAUAAACUAUUGGAGAUCAAAGCCUCCACUAUAAGAUCUUCUAGUUUUGGCUAAACUACUAUAAAAGCCCUUCACUUAGUUUACCUUUGUUAAAGCCCUUCACUAUAAGAUCUCCAAUAAAUCUGCCAAAAAUAUUGUUAAUAAUAGUAAACAAUUGUAUUAAACAUGGAUAAUAAGUGUAGAUAGUAACAUAUUUUGAUGAAUUACCCAAAAAUUCUAUUUUUUUCGAAAAAAUAUAUCGGAUUAGACCGGUUUUUUUUAAUUUAUCGGAUUAAGCUGAUUUUGGAGAGAGUGUGGAUUUGGCAGGAAAGUGCUUCUAGCUAGAUGCACUUUCCUGCUCAGUCAACAAAGCACAUCUAGCUAGACGCAUUUUCCCUAAUGGCUACCCACUCAGCGGUCGAAUUCUAAUGGCUCCCCCCUAACAGUAACUCUUUUCCCCUAUUUAAACCCCAAAUUUCCCACUUUUUCAAUUCACUCUCUACUCUCUCAAUUCAUUCUCAAUCCUCUCUUAAUUCUCACUCAAUUCUCUCAGUUCACUCUCAUUUUUUAUUAAAAUUGUAUUAAGGUUUUUUAAUUUUUUUGUAUUACAAUUUUUAUUUGUAUUUAUUGAAAUUAUUAAUGACAAAUUCUCUUAUUCGUUUAGAUGACAAGCACAUUUCGACCGUUCAAUUGCAAAUGGUAAGAAUUUUUUUAUUACUUUUAAUCUAAUCUAAUUUAAUUAUUUUGUUGUUAUAUUGAAAUUUAAGAUUUUGUAUUUUUUUUUAUAAUUAGCUAGAAGAUCGGAUUUUGGAGACGUACAUUCGCAAUCUAUCUACUCCUUUAUCGUUUUUAAUCGAACCAUACUUGUGAGAUGCAAGAUUUUUGCACAUCGCCCGUAUGGGUAAGGGGUGCAAAUUGGAACUCGAACUUGUAAGCGUGUUGGUGGAAAGAUGGUUAAAGUCUUAUUGGUUUGAGAUGUGAAAUUGGACUUAUAUUUUGUGAUGUUUUCACUUAGGUCUUAAGAUCAACUAUACUUUGUUAAAUGACAAGAUGAAACUAAAAAGGUAUGAGCUUGUAGGAUUCUGCCUACAAGGUCGCGACACUAGCUUUCAACAUUACUACGUCCUUUGUUUGAGGUCGCAACGUUAACUCAUUGUUUUCAAAGUCGCGACAUUGCACCAUCAAAGUCAUGACACCAUGUUUCUGCCAUUGAUGACGUGACGUGAAACCUUCAUGGUGGCGACGCCAACUCGAUAAAACUUGAUAACUUUGCAUUUUGGUCCUCAUAUGGUCUCGGGUUAUCAUAGGAGCUUUCAUAAGCUUGUAUAAACCCAAAUAUGAGUUGGAAGAAUGUUUUAUUGAUGUUUUAUCUGAAAUAACUUAUAUAAAAAAUGUCCUUUUUUGAAAGAACAAUUUUGUAUGUUGAUAUGUGAGGGUGAGUUACAAUAUAAAUGCAAGAGGUAGAAAAGAAAAAUGAAUGCUCUUAUUAUAGCUCCUAGUUGUUUACAUUGAUUUCACUCUUUAGUAAUUGUGCUUACUUCAAGAAGGAAAAAAUAAUGCUCAUAGCCUACACUUUGCACCCUUUUCUUUGAAUUAUUAUUAGCUUAAAUUGUCUAGUCACCUAUUUUAAGAAGUUAUUUAAUUUAAUAAUUUUCGAUAGCUUAAUUGCAAUUAGUGAUGUUUAUGAAUUGGGUUGGGUCGGAUUUGGGUCGAACUCAUGCAACGUAUUUAAAUCAAUUCUCUAAGUUCGGGACCGACUCAGUCCAGAAAAUGGACUUACUUUUUUGUUCAAACUCGAUCCGAUUUAAGAAAAGUAAAUCUGUGCUUGACCCACCCAUAUUUAAAAUCUAGUUGGAUUUUAAUAUAAGUGUUGAAUGCAUGUGUUUGAUUUAUAUAAUUAUAUAUUUUUUCAUAUUCAUAUUCAAAUUUUUAGUAGAUGAGCUGGGGCGUCACCUCAUCCUGUAUUUCUUUCCAAUUAUUUAAUGACACUUCAACAAUUCUUUUCACGUCAUUGAUACAUAAUUUUGGUAAUUUUUUAAACCCCUAAACCUUGAAUUUUGAACCCAAAACCCCAAACCCCAACUCAAACCCCAACCCUAAAUCUUAAACACUGACCUCUAAACUUGACCAAUUAAUUAAAAGUUGUAAUUUCCCAUUGAUAAGGGUUAUAAGUUGAAUUAAUUAUUCUAAGUUAUUUGAAUGGUUUAAUUAAAUGAAAAUUAUUAUUUAGAUCAAUAAACAAACCAAACAAAUCUAAACUGAGAAAAAGCUAAAAUGUUGGAUUAGUCGUCGGCUUCGUUUUUACAAUUGUUUUUGUCGAGGUAAGUUCAUAUAAAGAUUUAAAUUCAUUAAUUGAUGUUCUGAAUGUAGUUUUGAUAAAUAUUAUACUAUGUAUAGAUUAGAUUGAUAGUUAUUUGAUGUUUUGGUAUUUCAGAUAUAAUCAUAAUGAUAGCUAAAUUGAAUGUUAUAAUUGAAAAAUGUACAUUUCAUGCUCACGUGGCAAAUAUAAAAAAAUCCAUAUUUUUUAAAUUUAAAAGAAAUAAAAUGUGCAUUUUAAUUACAUUAAUUAAAAUUAAAAUUUUAUGUUGUUGAUUUGGAACUACGUAGCAAAUUGUUAAAAAUCUUUAUUGAUUUAAAAAAAAUUAAAAAAAUUAUAGAUUUUUUAAAGUUUUUUAACACUUGAUAAUUUUAUUUAUUUUUAGAUUUUUUUAAUUUUUUGAAGUUUUUUUUUUAAAUUUUGUACUCUUCUAAAAUGAAUUUGUACAACUGUUUGUGCAAAUUUAUUUGAAUAUGAAGAACUUAUUGUUUAGAUUCAUUCUAUAUGCAUAUUUUAUUUUAUUUUUUAAAAAGAUUUUAUAUUUUCAAAAAAUAAUUAUUCAAAAUAAAAAAAAAUAUUUUUUUUGCUGACUAGGCAUGCUAGGUUAGCAUACUACCACAUGGCAAAUUUUAGUGGUUUUUGUCAACCAUGUUAAUGGUUAAAUCAGUCAAGUGACAGUUUCUGUUAAUGAAAGGAACCAAUAAAUUUUUUUAUUUUUUAUUGAGAUUUUUUUUUGACCCUUGGCAAAAGAAAAUUACUUGUGCUAAUUGUAAGAAUUGACAUAAGUAACUUUAAGGACUAAUAUGAUAAUAAAAAAAAAGUUAAAUACGUCAUGUAAGUAUUUAUUAUCCAAAUAAUUUCCAUAUCUAUUUAUUAAUUAAAAUAUUCUAUAAUCCCAUAACCAAUUAACCAAUUAACCGACCUUAGCUAAGUUGGUAGAGCGGAGGACUGUAGUAGAAUAUCCAAACAGCCAUCCUUAGGUCGCUGGUUCGAAUCCGGCAGGUCGGAUAUUGCCCUUUUUUUUUUUUUUACAAUUUAUUUAAAAGAAUAGGUUAAAUUUUGCUUUUAGUCCCUAUACUUUACUUGGUACUUUUUCAAAUUUUAAAGUUGCUUUGCAUCACUUUUUCACCUUAUUAAGAGAAUAGGUUAAAUUCUACUAUUAGUCCUGAUCAAAUUGUAACUGUUAAAUAAAUUAGUUUUUGUUAUUUCUAAAAUUUGAAAUGAGAAAUACAUUAUCACAUAUCUAUUAUUUCCAAAGAUGAUAUCAGUUUAAUUCAAUCAAACUUUUUUAGAAUUUUCGAACCAUCCAUCAUACUUUAAUUUAGUAAAUGAAUCAUAAUAAAAUGAUAAAAAUAAAUCAUAUUUAUAAUUAAAUAUUUAUUAAGAAAUGAUAAAAAUUUAUAUAAUUUUUUUUAUAAAAGAUGUAUUCAAUAAAUGAAUACUUAUGUAAAUUCUUAUCAAUUUCGGUUUCAAUCUUUAUUUAAAAAUACUAUUUUUGUAAUUGUUUUAUUUAAAAUUUUGAAUAAAAAUAAUAAAAGAUAAAAGAUACUAUUUUUAAAUUAAAAUUUACAAUAUAUCAAUUUUUUUAUAUAUUUUUUACAAAUUCUUUAAUAAUGAUUAGAAUUUUUUUAUCACUAUAUUUCAAAUAUCAAAAUAAUUUAUAUCUAUUUAUUAUUUAAUUAAUUAUUAUUUUGAAUAAUGUUACUUUACAUUAAUCACAACAUGAUAAAAUGCUUUAAUUAUGAUUUGAAUUUUUUAUUAUAAUAUUUGAAUGAUUAAAUAAGUUAAUGUAUUUUAAUUAUAUUCAACCAUUCAAAUAAAGCAUAUUAUUGAACCUCAUGUGAUGGCUUGAUGGUCAAAGGUGUUCAUUGUCCUAGGUGUGACUUGAGUUCAAGUCGCGUUGGUUGUUUGGGCUUUACCUUGCUAUUGUAAUUCACAAAAAAAGGAAUAUUAUUUUAAACUAAUUAUGAUAAUUAUAAAAAAAUAUUUAAAAAAUUAAUUAAAAAUUAAACACAUAAAAUCACAUUGUAAUUAUAAAAAUUAAUUUGCAAAAAAAAAAAAAAAACUGUUGUUUUGCUGCCAUUUCACUGUUAUGUUGUUAUUGUUUGCAUAUUGUAUAAUUCUUGUUUUAUUGUUAAUUUAUUACUAUUUUAGAGGCAUUUGUUUGUUAAGUUACACCUAUCUUAGUGUUAUUUAAGUAUAAAAACAUUUUUAAAUUUAUUUUCAGUUUGUUGAGAAAUAUUUAUUUUACUGUUUUUAGUAUCUUUCAUGUUUUUUUUUUAAAAAUUAACAUAGACCGAAUUAGGUUCGGGUUUAACAUCUAUAAAACGAACCUAAAAUUUUGUUAGGACCGACUUGAACCCGACCCGACACAGGUAUAGUUUAAACCCUUGAAACAUCAUUUUCUCCGAUGUGGAGUCAUAGUUUAAAAUGUCCUCACACAGCUGCACCAAAAUGGCAUGGUGGAGUGGACACAUGCCUUUCUUCUACAAGCCUUCGUGCCUCUGAUGUUUUGGAAAGAUGCGCUUUAUUCUACGACCUUUAUAAUCAAAAUACUUACUUCAAAGGCUAUUCAUCACAGGAACUCCUCAUGAAAUGGUCUUUGGAAGCAAGCUAGAUUAUGGUUAUCUAAAGGUCUUUGGCUGUAAGUGUUUUCCUUACCUUAUACCUUUCAAUAAAAAUAAACUUGAAUCUCAUUCAAUGCCUUGAACAUGCCUUGGUUAUUGUUCAAAUCACAAAGGUUACAAGUGUCUUACAGAUGAUGGGAGGGCCGAUAUGGUAUUACGUGAAUCAAUAAAUUCGAUACGGGUAUGAGUAAUGGUAUGAAUCGAAAAGGAAAUGAAUAUGUUCUUAGUAGUAGAAACUAUGGUAUUAUUUGGUUAUAUUAAAUUGUUGAAUGCAAUAUUUGUAUGAAUUGAUAUACAAAGCUAUUAUGCAUAUAUCAUAUCUUAAUGAAAUGUGUAUUGGCUAAAGGCUGAAUUGGAAUUGAUUGUGCAUAAUCUCGGUUUUGAUAUAUGCAUGUUAAUAGUUUUGGUUGAAUUAACUUGAAUCAUAAAAGUAUUGUUGAGCUUUAUCACUUAGCGUAUGGUUUGUUUAUUCCAUGUGCAGAUAUCCAUAAAUCUUGAAGCCUCGAGAGGUGAAACAAUGUCCAAAUUGUUGAUUCUGGACUCAGAAAUGUUUGCACAAUUCUCACAUUUCAAUAGAUGACAUGUACCUAAAAUUGGACCGAUUUUUAGGUUAUAAAUGGUCAAAUUAGUGUAAUUGAAUAAUGUAUGGAAAUGAAUAGUUCAUGAAAUUGGACCUAUAUAUUGUGAUGUUUGUCAUUUAGGUCUUAAGAUCAGCUAUACUUUGUUAAAUGGCAAGUUGAAAUUACAGAGUUAUGAGCUUGUAGGAUAUUCAGCCUACAAGGUCGUGACACCAGCUUUCAACGUCACGGCGUCUCCUGUUUAAGGUCACGAUGUCAACUCCCUGUUUUCAUUGCGACAUUGCACCAUCAGAGUCGCGACACCAUGUUUUUGCCAUUGAUGUCGUGACGUGAAACCUUCAUGGUGGCGGCGCCAACUCGAUAAAAUUUAAAAACUUUACAUUUUGGUCAUCAUGUGAUCUCAGAUUAUCAUAGGAGCUUUCGUAAGCUCUUAUAACCCCGGAUAUGAGUUGAAAUAAUGUUUUAUUGAUGUUUUAUCUGAAAUAACUUGUAUAAAUUAUUGAAUGGAUCGAUAUUGUAUUCCUAGUUACUUUGACAAUGAAUGUGACAUCCCGUAACUCGGACCCGACGAUCAGGUCGGAUAUAGGGUGUUACAGAUUCUUUAAAAGAAAUUAGUUUUAGAUGUAUUUGAUGAUAAAAUUAAAUCAACUAGAUUGAUAUGACAGUUUUAUUAUUUUAAAAAUUAUAUUAAAAAUGUAUUUUUGAUAUUUAAAUUAAAAUGAAAAUAUUUUUAUUAAUAAAUAUUAAUUGUAUAGGUCAAAUUUUGCUAUUGACCCUAUAUUUUGCAUAAGUUGUAAAUUUAAUACCAAUAAUUUAAUUUCGUUAUUUUCAGUCUCUAUGCUUUUAGAAUUUGAAAAUUUCAGUCCAGUAAUUAUAAAAUUCAUUAAGUUCUGUUAUUUUCAAAAUCUGAUAAGUCAAAUAUAUUAUCGCAUGUGUAAUGUUAUGUCAGCUUGUUAGUCUCAUAUAUUACUCACAAAAAAUUCAGUUAAUAGAUUUAAUGAGUGUUGUUUACAUUAAGACUAAAAUUUCGAAAUUAAAAGGAAUAUAAUGACUAAAAUUGAUCCAAUUGGAGAAUAUAAACCAAAUCUAUGACUUUACGAUUCAUACAUGAUUAAUAGCAUAAUUUAACUAAACAAAUUUGACUGUUACCAUUUGAUUAGGACUAAAAUUAAUCAAAUUAAAGCGCAAAUAUUAAUUUCAUAACUUAUAUAAAAGUACAUGGACUAAUAACAAAAUGUAACCAAUUUUAAUGUCCUUUUUUGAAAGAAUAAUUUUUUAUGUUGAUAUGUCAGGUAGAGGUGCUCAUGGGCCGGGCCCGGCCGGGUUCGGGCCAAGCCCAUAAAAAAUUUCGGCCCGGCCCGAAAUAUGGGCCUGAAAUUUUGUCCAGGCCCAGGCCCGGCCCGGGAAAAAAAUCAUAAGCCCGGGCCCAGCCCGGCCCAUUUUUUAAAUAAAUACCAAAAAAUUAUUUUAAAAAUUAAAAAAAGUAUUUUAAAAUACUUUUUAAAAUUUUAUAUUUUAAAAUUAAAAAAAUUUUAAAAAUAUUUUAAAAAUAUUUUAAAAUUAAAAAAUAAUAAAAAAGUAUUUUAAAAUUAAAAAAUUUAAAAAAUAAAUAUAUUUAUUAUAUCGGGCCGGGUCGGGCCCGGGCCAAAAAACUGGUGCCCGAGGCUGGGCCCGUUUUCUAAACGGGCCUAGUUUUUUUGCCCAAUCCCAUAUUUCGGGCCUAUAUUUUUACCCAAACCCUCCCAUAUUUCGGGCGGACCGUCGGGUAAUGUCAGGGUGAGUUACAAUAUAAAUGCAAGAGGUAGAUAGGGGUGAACAAAAUUCGAUUCUAUUCGAUUCGAAAAACUCGAUAAAAAAACUAAAUUUUGAAUUAACUAGUUUGAGUUAUUCGGAUCAACUCGAAUAAAAAAAUUAAAAUUUCCGGUUUAACUCGAAUAUGAAUUACACAAUUCGAGUAAACAGAAAAUCUAAAUAAGAAAAGACAAAACCACGUCGUUUUGGUAAAUGUUUAUCUUUUCUAAAGUUAAAAGUCAAAACCAUUAAAUUAAAAGGCAAAACUAUUUUGUUUUGAUAAAUGUUUACCAAUCAGUCUUACUUAUGUAAUUAAAUAAUCUUGUACUUCGUCUACUAGUUAAAUAAUCAAUCCAUAUAAACACAAUAUUGAGUAUAAAUAAUGUGAUUCGUUAACUCGACUUCAAAUUUUUUCGAUUCGAAAACUAUUCAAAUUAAUUUAAUUACCAAAAAAAAUUCGUCAACUCAAUUAAUUUAAAAUUUUUUAAGUCGAUUUUACUCGACGUGACUCAACGCUGAACGGUCAGAUUGUUUAAAUUGAAUUCACUCAGUAGUAACUGUGCUUACCUACUUGCCACUUGGACGACAGACUUUCGACCAACUUAUUUAUGUGUAUUUAAUUUUCUGCAGUUUGUGUUCAAAUUAAAGCGUACUUCAAAAAUGAAAAAUUUAAUGCUCCUAGCCUUAGCUUUUUCUUUGAAUUAUUAUUAUUAUUAUACUUAAUUAAAUAACUCUUGUUAGCUUAAUUACAAUUAGAGAUAUUCAUGUAUUGGGUCGAGUUAAGUUUGGAUUAAGCGCAAAUAAAGUAUUUAGAUUACUUCUUUAAGUUCGGGUUCAGCUCAAUCCAAAAAAUAAGUUUAUUUUUUAUCCAAACCUUUAAAAAAAAAACUCGAAUCUAACCCGAUCAUAUUUAAGUUUUUUAAAUUAAUUUUUAUUUAAAAAUAGUUUUUUUUACUUUUAUUUAUUUUUUAUCCCUCUAAAAUAAUUUUUUUAACUUCGUCCUUAGUGUUGGAUAUAAAUAUAAAAGAAUAACCAUAAUUGAUGCUUUGAAUGUGUUCUCCAUUCAUGUAUUUAAACUGGUUUUUUUGGUAAAAAAAUAUUUUUUAACAGGUAUGAUUUGAUAAUAUUAAAAUCUAGCUUCCAAAUGAUUAGAAUCAGAAUUUCACUGUUGAGAUUUUUUAAGAAAUUGACUCUUAAAUGUACUAUUUUUUUCCUUUGAAAAGACAGUAUAAAUAGGAGAUUAUUCCUUAAACUUCUCCCAUUAUUUUAUUCUUGGUGUUUUGCGGAAUUACACGAGAGAGAAAUUUUGUUAGGAGAUUGGGUUUUAAACCAGACCGUCUGUGAACCCUCUAAUCUUUCAUGGGAAUUGAACCUAGUCUGGUUUCGUUGGUUUUCUUUUAGCUUAUUUUUCGAUCAUAUUUUCAACCAACUGCUUUUGUUUUUUUCAAUUUUGAUUCCUUUAUUAGAAGAGCAAUAUCAAUUAUGUUCCACAUUCUUUAUCCGGGUAUAUAGAUAUUGAAAUACUGUGUUAACCUUGGGGCGACGUCCACUAUACGAUUACACAGAUCAGAACAAAUUUGCUUUUAAGACAGUGAUUCUUCCACAGCACGAUGAUUGCUCUAUUUAUUUAGACUCAGCUUGAUUUCCUAUUAGCGCUAAACAGUUUUAUUUUAUAGUAGUAUAUUUUUAACAUUAAUAACAUGAAAACAUUACUGAAAUAUCAUUAAGAUGAGGCAAUUAUUUCUAAUGAAAAUGAUUUCCAAUAAAUAAUAUUUUAAACACUAACUGAUAAAAAAAAUUGAAAAGAAAAGAAAAACUAAUAAUCCGGCCAACAUAGCAAUCCAACAGCAAUGCUUAAAAAUACCUGAAAGACGAAAUAUAAAAGUAGAAACCAUAUACUACUGAAAAUACCUUAUUCAUAGUAGAGGAGAUUUUAUUGAUCAUCAAAGUGUUUCCAGAGACGCUUACAAGCUUGAAAUCUGGGGACUUGGAGAAGCAAAGUUUAGGAAUUCAUGAUCUUUUUGUAGUGCAGACAUUUUGGUUUCAUCUAAGGUUAUCCAAGCUUCUAUUCCUUUCCCAUAUUUGGUUUCAACGAGAACAGUGAAGUUUCUAAAUUCAGGCCCUGCUUUUCCCAGUAUUGCAAAUGAACAAGGUUGCCCCCAUCCGAAAUCUAGUUUGUGAAAAUCAGUAUUGAUCCAGCUGGUGAAGGCGAAAAUAUCAGGUUUUUCAAAGGAAAACAACAGCUCCAGCUGGUUCAAGUGCUCAGCGAUGGCUUCAAACCCUUGUUCACCUUGGAUUGAUCUCAUGUAUUCGUCGUCGAAAACAGCAAUGGAUUGACUCAUCAACUCGACCAAUGUGGAUAACUCGGUGCCUGUCUCGGCUGGAUUCGAGAGUGCACUCGCCCACCAAAAUACAUUCCCAACCGAACCAUCUAAUGUCGUAAGCUUCCCUUUUGACCUCAUGUUCACUGCUUGGACAACAAUGGAUGGUUUCAAGGUUCCUUGUAUCGCCCUGGAUGCCGCCAUUGAACAUUUCCAGAUGAAACCAGAGACAGCUUCGGUUCGUGUCGGUGUAGUCUCGACUUCCCCUUUUGCCAUGUCCUUUAGGAUGGCUACUGCUUCCUCAUUAAACACAAAUUUCCGUGUAACAAAAUUACCUUUGGUGAACCAUAAGUUUUCCAUCAUGGAUAUGUAAUUCUUGGGCAUUGGAUUUUUAGGUGGAAAGAUCAAGGAGGCCUUAGAUAAGGCAGGAAAUUUAAUUUCAGGGUGGUAUCCUUGGCAGAUUGUUCUCCAAACAAAGGUGAAAAUGAAGCCUGUUUUGGCGUCAGUGAUUUUAUGUGAGGCGCAGAUGCCUAAAGCUACUCCCCCACAUGCAAACAUGGUGACUUGACAAACCAAGAGAGGACCCUGAUGAUUUGAUUCCUUGUAGAAAGGAGGGCAUGGGAGCAAGUUGUUCAAGGUCUCAAUUUGAUGAUGCCUGAGAAACUCGGAUAAUCGACAACCGAUUCGAGCCGAUAAAAACGGAACACCGGCGUCGAAAUCAUGGAUGAACAUGUUACUAAAGAUUCUCCCAGAGAAGGGAUAUAAGAUGUUUAGGGUUUCUGAAAGAGAUUUCUUCAGCUGAGUCAAAAUAUUGGAGGUGUUGGUAUCACUCGGGGGAUAAAAUAAUAUGAUUGGAACAUAAGUGGUGGGAGUUAGCUGAUCAAAUACACAGAGUUUGAAGGGUUCUUUUAGAUGAAUUUCUGGGGAAGAUGGUUUGAUGAUUUCUUUUGAAAGAAUCUGAGCCUCAAACUUCAUCAUUUCUUUGUUUUUUUUCCCUCACC